GAGUGGCGAACGGGUGAGUAACACGUGGGUAACCUGCCCAGAAGUAGGGGAUAACACCUGGAAACAGAUGCUAAUACCGUAUAACAGAGAAAACCGCAUGGUUUUCUUUUAAAAGAUGGCUCUGCUAUCACUUUUGGAUGGACCCGCGGCGUAUUAGCUAGUUGGUGAGGUAAAGGCUCACCAAGGCAGUGAUACGUAGCCGACCUGAGAGGGUAAUCGGCCACAUUGGGACUGAGACACGGCCCAGACUCCUACGGGAGGCAGCAGUAGGGAAUCUUCCACAAUGGACGCAAGUCUGAUGGAGCAACGCCGCGUGAGUGAAGAAGGGUUUCGGCUCGUAAAGCUCUGUUGUUAAAGAAGAACGUGGGUAAGAGUAACUGUUUACCCAGUGACGGUAUUUAACCAGAAAGCCACGGCUAACUACGUGCCAGCAGCCGCGGUAAUACGUAGGUGGCAAGCGUUAUCCGGAUUUAUUGGGCGUAAAGCGAGCGCAGGCGGUCUUUUAAGUCUAAUGUGAAAGCCUUCGGCUCAACCGAAGAAGUGCAUUGGAAACUGGGAGACUUGAGUGCAGAAGAGGACAGUGGAACUCCAUGUGUAGCGGUGAAAUGCGUAGAUAUAUGGAAGAACACCAGUGGCGAAGGCGGCUGUCUGGUCUGCAACUGACGCUGAGGCUCGAAAGCAUGGGUAGCGAACAGGAUUAGAUACCCUGGUAGUCCAUGCCGUAAACGAUGAUUACUAAGUGUUGGAGGGUUUCCGCCCUUCAGUGCUGCAGCUAACGCAUUAAGUAAUCCGCCUGGGGAGUACGACCGCAAGGUUGAAACUCAAAAGAAUUGACGGGGGCCCGCACAAGCGGUGGAGCAUGUGGUUUAAUUCGAAGCUACGCGAAGAACCUUACCAGGUCUUGACAUCUUCUGACAGUCUAAGAGAUUAGAGGUUCCCUUCGGGGACAGAAUGACAGGUGGUGCAUGGUUGUCGUCAGCUCGUGUCGUGAGAUGUUGGGUUAAGUCCCGCAACGAGCGCAACCCUUAUUACUAGUUGCCAGCAUUAAGUUGGGCACUCUAGUGAGACUGCCGGUGACAAACCGGAGGAAGGUGGGGACGACGUCAAAUCAUCAUGCCCCUUAUGACCUGGGCUACACACGUGCUACAAUGGAUGGUACAACGAGUCGCGAGACCGCGAGGUUAAGCUAAUCUCUUAAAACCAUUCUCAGUUCGGACUGUAGGCUGCAACUCGCCUACACGAAGUCGGAAUCGCUAGUAAUCGCGGAUCAGCAUGCCGCGGUGAAUACGUUCCCGGGCCUUGUACACACCGCCCGUCACACCAUGAGAGUUUGUAACACCCAAAG
rnacentral:rRNA from 1 species